GCACUACUGAAGAGUCCCAUACUAGGACGAAACGGCCGUCCAGUGC
rfam:Schistosoma margrebowiei strain Zambia genome assembly, scaffold: SMRZ_contig0000040